UCGAACGGGACCAGGGGCAACUCUGGUUCAGUGGCGGACGGGUGCGUAACACGUGAGGAACAUGACUUUCGGUGGGGGAUAGCCGGCCCAACGGCCGGGUAAUACCGCGUACGACCUUUUGGGGACAUCCCUGAAUGGUGAAAGCAGCAAUGCGCCGAAAGAGUGCCUCGCGGCCUAUCAGCUAGUUGGUGGGGUAAUGGCCCACCAAGGCGACGACGGGUAGCUGGUCUGAGAGGAUGGCCAGCCACAUUGGGACUGAGACACGGCCCAGACUCCUACGGGAGGCAGCAGUGGGGAAUAUUGCGCAAUGGGCGAAAGCCUGACGCAGCGACGCCGCGUGUGGGAUGACGGCCUUCGGGUUGUAAACCACUGUCGGGAGGGACGAAUGCGCCGCAAGGCGAGUGACGGUACCUCCAAAGGAAGCACCGGCUAACUCCGUGCCAGCAGCCGCGGUAAUACGGAGGGUGCGAGCGUUG
rnacentral:rRNA from 1 species